CCAAAGUGGACAAGGAAUAAAAUAUAUAUGUCUGGUAGCUAGAUUCACAGUGAAGAAAUGUGGCCCAAAGGUAUAAAAUUGCACUUUAUUUUUUGCAUAGUAUGGGUCAGUUGCCCUGCUAGGCAUUUCCUCAUACAUCUGCAUCUUUAACGUGUGCAAUAGGUAUUUCUAUCCCCAUUUUAAAGAUGGGAGAACUGAAGGUGGUUUGAACCGAGGAAUAUAACAGAAAGUAGGGAAAAAAUGGCUUGUUGUCAGGUACCAGGGAGAAUCCCAUACUGGGUGAAAGAUUGAUCUGUAAGAACCUAAAUCCAGGAAAGCAGCCUAUGCAGCAGUGUUCAGGGAUCAGUGCUGACAAAUUCUCUGGGAAGCCUUCCCUAGUUCCUAGACCAGAUGAAGUCUUCUACUGGUCGCUGCCACAACACUCCAGGUCAUCUGCUCUUAAAUUCAGCAUGCUUUAUUAGAAUUAUUUGAAGUAAUAAACUUAUUCUCAGUGCAUAUUUUCAUGCACUAGAUUCGACCUUCUGCACCUAGUAUGUAUGACCGCAUUUUGUACAUAGAUGUUAACAGAUGGAUAGUGACAAAACUAUGGCAGAUUGUUCUUUUCUACUGGUCUUCACUCCCUUCCUGGAAGCAGGCCUUAGAUGGAGAAAAAGGAAUGAUUUAAUUAGCACAAGAAAGAGAAUUUUCAUCCUGUAAGAGGCAGCUAAUAUUAGCAAGAGAAUGGCUAACUUGUCUUGUAAUUGUUUCCCUCUCAAGGAACCCAGAGAGUUAAUCAGCUGUGGUCUCCAUACCAGAUCUGAGAAAAGCAAUGAAGAAACCUUUCCUUUGUUACUUCCUUCCUUGGUGAUUGCCUGCCUUCUUCACCAAUAUACUGGAGUUACAGAAUGCGGUGAUAUGUACUUUACAAUGGGAUUAAAUAUGGCAACAUGGCUAGAUCUGCACAAAUCUGGAACUCUCGUUCUGUUUGUGCUAUAGAGUCACUUUGCUGCUCUUACAUUUGCCCCAGGAACACUUUGCACAUGUUGCCUUUGUCCUAUUUAUCUCCUCCCAUUAUUGGUUGCCUACACACAGUGGGCUGAGCCCCUGAUGGCUGUAUUGUGACUAGGUCAUGGGCUGAAUUUGAACUGAAACUCUCAGUGACACGGAAUUAUUAUUUGAAGAAGCUGUCUGAAAUGACUUUCUAAGCAAAGACUUCAUUUGGAUUCUAAGGACCUGGGAUGCCAAACGUCAGCAAGUGAAAUGUGCCUCCAUGAUACUAAUUCCUGAUCAUCACCAGAGGACCAGUUGCACAAUGCAUGAAAAAACAUCAUUAUGAGUGGCUAUAAUGAUAGUAGAAAGAUCAUCCUACUAGGAAUGAGGAUAUUCUGCCUUUAAAAAAGCAGUGUAAACCUGAGACUUUGCAACUGGCAAGCAUUCUGAACCACAACAUCCCACAAUGCACUGGUGAUAACUUUCCUCCCAGACAGAUAUCAGCUAACCACAGUGUACAAUCAGCUGCCCACAUUGGAAGACACAAAUCAGAAAACCACUGUUCCAUAAUCACAGAAUUGAAAGAACUGCAUACGUAAAAUGACAGGCUAUUAAUUCUGGUUUGGAAAGCCUGAAUAGGACUUUUGAUGAAGUUUAAUUUUUUUUGGCUCUCCAGAAAUGGAUAAAUCAUUUAAAAUAAAAAUAGAUGUUGUAUUAUACGAUGCUCAUUUCUCUAAAUAUUUAUUAUUUGGGGGAAGUGUUUUUUUAAUGAUGAAAAAUAAUGAUGGUGUUCACAUGAAUGCUCCAAAAUAGCACACAGUUCAUCCUCUGUUGCCUCACUAAGCUCUAGAUUUGAAAAUUGUUUGGUGUAAUUUAAGUAAACCUAUAGUAUAUAAAAUUUUAAUUGAAAAGAUAUGAUAUUUCAUUAAAUGCUGUCACACGUUGCUAUUGUUGCCAAAUGAGGCUUGGCAGUACCUUGGGGACACUUCCCUACUGAUUGGAUUUUUGUCUCCAGCCUGAGCCAAAUAUAGCCUUCAAGAUACAUAUCAGCUAUCCUGUGUUGCAUGAGAGGAUUAUACAGACAUAGAUGUGGUAUACAUUUAUAUGUUUUUAUAGCAUUUAUAUGAUUUAUAUUCAUAUGAAUAUUUUUAUCAGCAAUUUCAUUACAAAACUGCAGUGGCAUGAGAAUAAUUACUUUUUAAAAGUCUUGCACCUGGAAGAGUAUUUAUAGUUCUAUGAAUUAUCUAUACAGAACGCUGUGACAGUAAGAUACAAAAAGAUGGGGGUGGGUAGUGGAGAACACAGUUUGGAAGUAAAUAUACUCUGGGAGUCAGUCUAGAAUAUAUAAGCAAGAAAAUUAAAGAGAAUCCUUUUUUGUUUUUGCAAAUUCUUUUUCCCAUCUAUGGUGAAUGAACUUGAUUUUUUUUUCUGGGGUUAACAAAUUCACCUUUUAAAAAUGUAGGGAAUAACAAUGAAAGGCAUAUGCACAUGACCACUGCAUUCUAAUUAGGACCCACAUAAUCAUAUGCUAGUUUGACUUAUGUCCUCUGCAAAGUAUGUUAGGGCCAAGGAACCAAUAGGACCACUUGCCUCAAAUUCUCUAGCACUUACUGAAGUAGUUAGUGAGCAACAAGAGGUAACAGCUGUGUGCUCAGUGAAAAAUCUAAUUCGCCUGGAGAAAACUGCUAAUGUAAAUCCACCGUUUUUCUCCAUUUGCACCAAAGCUGGGCAUUUACUAUAGGAUGCUGGUUUCUUCUAACCGUGCAUCUUUAAUUAUUACUUCU